AUAAUGCAGCGGAUCCGCAUGGAUACGUUGUUAAAGUUUACCGCCUUGGGAUAGGCUUGCGUCUGAUUAGCUAGUUGGUGUGGUAACGGCAACACCAAGGCUAACGAUCAGUAACUGGUCUGAGAGGAUGAUCAGUCACACUGGAACUGAGACACGGUCCAGACUCCUACGGGAGGCAGCAGUGAGGAAUAUUGGGCAAUGCUCGAAAGAGUGACCCAGCAACGCCGCGUGGAGGAUGAAGGUAUUCUAUAUCGUAAACUCCUGUGAGAGCAGACGAAAGACAGAUUAUUAAAUCUGGAUGACUGUAUGCUCAGAGGAAGCCCCGGCUAACUACGUG
rnacentral:rRNA from 1 species